ensembl:snoRNA
CCCGCCACUGUGCUAGUCUUUUAAAGUGACUCUGUACAAUCCAGUGGAGGCUCAGAGUGACCCAGCUCUAGGAAGCAGGGCGGCCCAAACUAAUGGGCAGCUCUGUGCCGAAAGACCUGGAACAAAC